rnacentral:rRNA from 1 species
AACGAACGCUAUCGGUAUGCUUAACACAUGCAAGUCGAACGGACUAAUUAGGGCUUUCUCCGAUUCUUUAGUGGCAGACGGGUGAGUAACACGUGGGUAUCUUCCCCUCAGUACUGAAUUACUUUUAGAAAUCUAAGCUAAUUCCCUAUAUUCUCUUCCGAGUACAGAUUUAUCGCUGAUGGAUGGCCCCGCGUCAGAUUAGGUAGUUGGUGUGGUAACUGCUAACCAAGCCGAGGAUCUGUAGCUGGUUUGAGAGGAGGAUCAGCUACACUGGGACUGAGACACAGACCAGAAUCGGACGGAAGGGAGCAGAGGGGAAUAUUGGAGAAUGGAGGAAAGUCUAAUAAAGCAACACCGAGGGAGAGAUAAAGGCGGUAGGGUUGUAAAGCUGUUUGAGAAAGGAAGAGAGUGACGGUAAUGGCAGAAGAAGCCCCGGCUAACUACGUG